rnacentral:rRNA from 1 species
UACGGGGGGGGGCAAGCGUUGUUCGGAAUUACUGGGCGUAAAGGGCUCGUAGGCGGCCAACUAAGUCAUACGUGAAAUCCCUGGGCUCAACCCAGGAACUGCACUCGAAACUUCUUUUCUUGAGUGCCGGAGAGGAAAGCGGAAUUCCUGGUGUAGAGGUGAAAUUCGUAGAUAUCAGGAGGAACACCAGUGGCGAAGGCGGCUUUCUGGACGGUAACUGACGCUGAGACGCGAAAGCGUGGGGAGCAAACAGG